rnacentral:rRNA from 1 species
UACGUAGGGGGCGAGCGUCGUCCGGAUUUAUUGGGCGUAAAGAGCGUGUAGGCGGCCAGGUAGGUCUGCUGUGAAAACUCGAGGCUCAACCUCGAGACGUCGGCGGAAACCAUCUGGCUAGAGUCCGGAAGAGGAGAGUGGAAUUCCUGGUGUAGCGGUGAAAUGCGCAGAUAUCAGGAAGAACACCCGUGGCGAAGGCGGCUCUCUGGGACGGUACUGACGCUGAGACGCGAAAGCGUGGGGAGCGAACAGG